UACGUAGGGUGCAAGCGUUGUCCGGAAUUAUUGGGCGUAAAGAGCUCGUAGGCGGUCUGUCGCGUCGGCUGUGAAAACUCGGGGCUCAACCCCGAGCCUGCAGUCGAUACGGGCAGACUAGAGUGCUGUAGGGGAGACUGGAAUUCCUGGUGGUAAGCGGUGAAAUGCGCAGAUAUCAGGAGGAACACCGGUGGCGAAGGCGGGUCUCUGGGCGAGUAACUGACGCUGAGGAGCGAAAGCGUGGGGAGCGAACAGG
rnacentral:rRNA from 1 species